rnacentral:lncRNA from 1 species
GAGUGAGGAGAUGUUAGGAAACCUCAAAUCCACCUCCCCAAGGAGAUUGGAGAACCCGGCAUGCAAUUGUUGUCACCCCGUGGGGUUGGUUUCAGACAGAGAAGAUGAGAAGGAUUCAGAAAGAAUGAACUCAAUACUUCAAACAAACAAGGUCUGGACAAACAUGGCCAGGUUAAUCAUGAGAAAGAAAAAAAAAAAGAAACAGCAUGAGAACUGCUAAACGUACUACACCAGGAACACUAAUACAAUGAUAAUUGAUAAUCAAAUGAAAAACACAUAUAACCUGCAAAGAAGCAGCUGAAGGACCCAGUCUGGAAGAAGAUAUGACUGAAGAAACAGUAGCAGGUUUCCCACAAGUACUUUAUGCUAUGGAAGAGCUUAGUAAGAAUAUUAAAAACAAGACUACAAAGGCA